GCUUGCAGUAGCAUUGGCUGGAGUUGUUAAGAAGCAGGCAUGGCUUGGCAGCAAUUUUACACAGAUUGUUUGCACCAAAAUUAUUUCUCACCAGAACCUGGUUAGGAGGUGGCCAGAGCCUUAGAAAUGGCCUUUCAAGCAAGCCAGGUAUUUCUGCAGUGAUGAAUUGACCAGGCUGUGCAAGAUGGGCCGUUUAUUCUAAGCAGCUGCCAGGCCUGGCUGGUUUGACUGUCUGAGGUCACACCUGGUGUGUCCUGGGGACCUCUGAGAGCACUAACACUGGGCUUUGUAACCGUGUCAUAGAUACUACAUAGUGACAUUUACAUGUUAAACAUUUCCAGUAGCUCCCAGGAGUGCUAUUAAAAUUGGCUUGCAAUUACAGCGUGGCUACAAAAUACUGCCCAGAAGGUGAAUCAGCAGCAUAUGCAUUUACAGAUAGUUUUUGAGUGAAUACAGCCAUGCAGCUUAGUGAUUCAUAGCUGCAGUACUUCAAACAUUUAUGUUAUCUAAUCAGAUGAAGUUCAAGAUGAAUGUAGAGGGAAAUGCCUCGCAUUCUAAAUUGAUUUGUUAUCAGAACUAUUUAUCAGGGUCAUGAAAAAGGCUUUAAGAAAAUUUCUUCCAAGUACUUAAAAGUCUAGCAUUUAUUUUCAACCCUGGUCCAAAUCUUUGUCAUCCAUAAACAUAUGUAGUCUUCUGUGGAUUUGACACAGAAUAAAAUGCCAUAUAUAAAUAACAAACAAGGUACCUGAAAUUGCUAAUGGUUCUGCAACAGCCCCACUAACCACUGCUGAUAUUGAGCAUCAUGAGAUUCUUGUACCUAAACAAGACACCAGUUCUGCUGUGUGAAUGAAGUAAGUCACAUCAACUAUGGCCUCUGAAAACAGAUGCCUAUAAAAAACACUUCGACCCAGUAGUCUUCUAGCCUUGUCUCAGUCUUGUGGAACCAAAGUAAAGGGGGAUGGCAGAUCCUGAAACUCGACAAGGGGAAUAUAGGGUCAACCACAUCUCCAUGGAGCCUUCAACAGAGCCAGAGUUUGUCAGAUGAACUUGUGAUGUGAGCUGCAGAAAGAGCAUUAGAGAAGAGCCUAGAACAGACAUAUGGGCUCCAGCAGAUGCAUCUGAAACACUAUGUCAUCAUCUAGAGCUGAAAUAAUUUUCAAAUUUGCUCCUAAACAGUGGCAAGCAGCACCCUUCAAGAUCAACUGAGUCAAAGGAGGCUUUGAUUUUAAUUUUUAAUGUAAAAAAAUCUCCAAACAAUCUUAUAGUAUCAUCACUGACAUGUAAAUCAACUAGAUGAGCAAAAAAGAACCUGUCUAUCAGAGAUAUCCUGCCUCCACUCCUCCAUACACAGCUGGAUCUGUCCUGAGGUACACUUAUCUUGGAGGAUUUAAUCCAGACCCUGACUCUGAGGUUUUAUAUGAAUAAAAAGGAGGAUCCUGUGUGCUUAAGGAUUCUGUACUCCAGAACUUGAAAUAUUUAUUUUAGUUCAAGACUAUGUCAAUGCCAAGUUGUUCUUCUGAAAGAUGCUGCCCUCAGGACUCUCUAGACCUUGGAACACAUGCACCACCAGCAGUUGGUGAGGACACAGAAGGAGAUUUUGUUCUCAAAGACAUGGCGCAGCAAUUGUCUUGUUAUCUUGUACACUUCUUAAUGUGUCCAGAGAAGGUCCAUGUGAUGUCUGCUGAAAGUUGAAGGUGUGCUCAUGAGCAUGGACUUUGCAUAACACAUGUACUGUCAAUAGUGUUGUAAUAUGGGGCACAGUGUUUUGCAGCCCACAAAUGAUGAUGAUGACAUGUGCAAGUCACCGAUGGUGCAAUGGAUCUUCACACAUCUUCUUCAUAAGAAAGUGUGAUGUGAGGAAGGCCCUAACUAUUUAAAUGCAUAAAGUUUUAUUAGAUAAACCUUUCUUAUGAUUUUUCUAAAUCGUCUGAGGUAGGAAGUGGAAGCAGUGUCGCAUUGGAAAAUAUGGUUUCAGCACAAUACCCAACCCACUUUGCAUGCGGCUAUUGCUCAAAUGAGAAAAAACGAGUGUCAUGAGCCAGCUGGACACAUCUUUUUCCCAUCUGUUCUGUAUUUAUUUAUUUCUUCAACAUUUGGUUUACUGUUUAAUGUUUAUUUUUCAUAUUCAGUACUCAGUGGAGAACUACAAAAAGCCAUCAACACUUCCUUCCCUCCCAGCCGUCCUACAGUUCCCACAGUCAAACAUGGCUGCAAAACCAAGCACAAGCUUUGUCGCCAAGCAGGCUGGUGUUUUAUUUAUGCACCUAUAACACUGUCAAUUGCUGUAUAUUUUCCAGCUAUCUUCAGGCACUCAUAAUAUAAAUGGCAUAAUAUUCUCCAGGAUAAAAUAAAAUCUAAUUUGACUUCUCCCAAAGAAUAAAUUAUGAUCUAAUAGAUCAACUAAUCAUAAUACUAAAGCUAAUACAGGAGCAAUCCUAAAUCCUCAAACCCUUUCUUUACUUCCCACUUCAAAAGACAAGAAACACAAUGUCUUUAUUCUUGGAAAAUUUAAGAGGUAUUCUUGGGGGAAGGACUGGAGGAAAACGAAUCCUAAUGCUAAGUGUGUCUCAUAGGAUGUACCUUUCAGUGCUGAUUUAGGUCAGUCAAUGCAUCUCUAGGAAUUGUCAGGGCUGCUAACCUGCUUUGGAAAGCAAUUUCACAGAUACAGUCUCACUAAAUUAGUUUAGUUUUGUUCUUAUGAAAUGGUUUCUUCAUACUCACUAAUAUUUGUGUUGUAGUACUGCUGCUGGAGAGACACAAGAAAAGAGAACUGGGAGAAGUCAAGAGUUACCAGUGACCAUAAACUUAAUAAAUGUUUAGUGGUACAAUACAUCACAUAACAACCACCACUCCUGGCAGCGGGGAGAUCCAGAGCCAGAUCAACUUUUACUUGCUUAAAAACAACUAAACCCUAAACACUCCCAAACAUCUCAGAUCUAGCAAGCCUAGGAAGCCUAAAUGCCAGAAGUGUAGUUCUGAAGGUGCUGCCAACCACGUUGCAUGGUUUGUGUUUGGCUUUACUGCAGCUCAGCAGAGAGCACUGCUACAAGCACUCUCUAUCAUUUUUGCUGGGCCAGGAAUACAAGCUGAAGUUACCAGUUUUAUCAUCACUGCAGGAAAAUCUGGUUUUAUCUGGAAGGAACAACCACUUGAAGUGUUAUCCCGCAUGUCUAAGCUUGGCAAUGUCUACAUUUUUUUUCAUGAAACCACUUCAUGUACCAUUGUUUGGAAGACCACAACUACUCAGAUCUUGGCUUUUGCCUGAAUUUCUCAUCUUGUAGCUCCAUGCAGUGCAGUUCCACUGCCAUGCUCAUGACUGCAGUACUGGAUUUACAGUUUCACUUGGUUUUGAGCAUACUUGUUGAGGAACUGCAACAGUCAUCCAGAAAGAAUAAGGAAGGAGGACAGAGUGUGCACCAACUAGGAGAGCAGAGCAGGAGGUGGACGGUACAACAAGUAUUCCUGCUAUUGCUGUAUUGCUGUGGGCAUAACUUGAAUUGCUAACUAUCACUAGUAAACAAUUCCUUACAAAUAUUUUGUUUGUUAAUGUAGUUAAAUGAAACAUUGUUAAUGAAAUUGUAGUAUCAGUUCAUUCUGCUGUUAUGAUGGUGGACUACAAAACAGUCCAGAUUUCCCACCUACCAUAUUUUACACAUUCCUGCAACGUACUGUAUUCCUGUUUUUUGCCUGAUUUCCAAAAUUUUGAUUUAUGUUUAAUUGUAGUACCUGAGCUAAGUCAGACCUGUAUAAACACUGAUCAUAGUACAAUGAAUUUCAGGUUGAACAUCACUCUCAUAAAAAGAUCUUUGUUUCCCUGCGUCUUCUAAUAGUUCGCAUGGUGUCAAUUGAAUUAUGACUCUUCUGUUUAGUCCAGUUUUUUGGAUUUCAGUAGGACAGAUUUUUGCAGAUGAGGACAGAGUGGAAUUUUUAAGGAAAAAAAUCAAGAUAGUAUUUUUAGUAAAACAAAUUCAGUGCUCCCAAGCUGCCAGGAGAGCAGGCAGCCUGGAGAGCCCCUGUGGGACUGGGCUGCCCAGGUAGACACACCAGAAUCAAGAGGAUAAAAAUACUCUCUUUACUGAAGUUAGUUGGUCAGGAGAAACAACACCAAGACAAUUGCUAUACAUAUGUGCUGCAGGGCCUGACAAUAAAUAGAUUGAGGCUAAAUAUGU